rnacentral:lncRNA from 1 species
UGAGUUGGUUUUGUGUGAAUUCCAUUUGGAAUUUAGGGAAGAUCGAGUGUUCAUAUAGAUUGGAAUGAUCACUCUAUUGAAUGGUAGAGUCCUUAGGGUUAUUUAUUUAUGGAAUCGGACUCAGUUUAGCAAGGGCUAAGAUGAGAUGAAUGGAAUUAAGACUGAGUUGAUAACCUGACUAGGACUAGGGCUAGGAUGCAUCAUGUUUUCUACUCUUGCGUGUUGAUAUGGUUGAGUGCAGGUUCCCGUUAUCUU